GACAAAAAAGUCAACAUCAAACCAAGAAAUCAGUAACGUGUCGUUAUACCUUUGCCGAUUAAAUUGUACAAUUAAUGCCCAUUGUCACAUUCUUAACACUAAAAAUCCGUUUUUUUGCGGGUUUAAUCCUUCUGUGAUAUACAGAUCAACACCCCAC